UACGUAGGGUGCGAGCGUUAAUCGGAAUUACUGGGCGUAAAGCGUGCGCAGGCGGUUCGUCGUGUCCGAUGUGAAAGCCCCGGGCUCAACCUGGGAAUGGCAUUGGAAACUGGCUAGCUGGAGUGUGGCAGAGGGGGGUGGAAUUCCGCGUGUAGCAGUGAAAUGCGUAGAGAUGCGGAGGAACACCGAUGGCGAAGGCAGCCCCCUGGGCCAACACUGACGCUCAGGCACGAAAGCGUGGGGAGCAAACAGG
rnacentral:rRNA from 1 species